GAGACUUAUCCAAGGUCACCCAGCAGACCGGGGACAAAACUGGAAUUUGAAUUUACAUUCUUCUGACUUCCAGGCCUUGGGGUCUACCAGCUAGGCCUUGCUGCUUCUCCUGUCAGUAAUUUCAGGGCCUUGGCUGCAUGAGGAGAAAAGGCAGAAGUCCAGCUUCUUUCUGCCUCCCUGGAGAAGCUUUCCAGACCAGCCCGCUCAGAGAUGAGGUAACUGAGGCACAGAGAAG